rnacentral:tRNA from 1 species
GGAGAGAUGACCGAGUGGUCGAAGGUGCCUGAUUCGAAAUCAGGUGUACGGAAACGUACCGGGGGUUCGAAUCCCUCUCUCUCCG